ACGGGUGAGUAACACGUGGAUAAUCUGCCCUUCGGCGGGGGACAACAGUCCGAAAGGAUUGCUAAUACCGCAUACGUCAGCGAGGUCUUCGGACUUUGCUGGGAAAGAUGGCCUCUUCAUGAAAGCUAUCACCGAAGGAUGAGUCCGCGUCCCAUCAGCUAGUUGGCGGUGUUAUAGACCACCAAGGCUAAGACGGGUAGCUGGUCUGAGAGGAUGAUCAGCCACACUGGAACUGAGACACGGUCCAGACUCCUACGGGAGGCAGCAGUGGGGAAUAUUGGGCAAUGGGCGCAAGCCUGACCCAGCCAUGCCGCGUGAGUGAUGAAGGCCUUCGGGUCGUAAAGCUCUGUGGAGGGGGAAGAAACCUCUUGUGGCUAACAUCCACGAGAAUUGACGGUACCCCUUUAGCAAGCACCGGCUAACUCCGUGCCAGCAGCCGCGGUAAUACGGAGGGUGCAAACGUUGCUCGGAAUCAUUGGGCGUAAAGCGCACGUAGGCGGCUCGUUAAGUCGGAUGUGAAAGCCCUGGGCUCAACCCAGGAAGUGCAUACGAAACUGGCGAGCUUGAAUAUGGAAGAGGGUCGCG
rnacentral:rRNA from 1 species